UCCCUGGCUAAAGUCCUUGUGACUCCAGCCUGAAGACUGACUUCUUGGGGCCAUCUCAGCCCCCACGGGCACCCUCAAAGGAUGGCUCAUCCUGAGGCCGGCUACUAUCAGAACGCCCUGGAUCAGCUCAAGCAGCACUUCCCCAGGUUCCCCACUCACUUGACGACACAGAUGGACAGCGCUUACUACUUGGUGAGCCCCGGCCCG